UCCUAUACUCUCCUUAGGAUAACCUACAAACCUGUAUUUUUCUGAUCUAGCAUCCAGCUUAUGUUCAUCAAUAUUUUUUACAUAAGUCAGGUAAUCCCAAAUCUUAAGAUGCUUAAGAUUGGAUCUUUUUUCUCUCUAUAAUUCAUAUAGAAUGCUAGAAACAAAUUUAGAAGGCACUUUAUUUAAGAUAUACACUGUGGCCUCG
rnacentral:lncRNA from 1 species